rnacentral:rRNA from 1 species
UACAGAGGUCUCAAGCGUUGUUCGGAAUUACUGGGCGUAAAGGGUGCGCAGGCCGCGCGGGCAGUCAAAUGUGUAAUUCAGGGGCUCAGCCCCUGCACUGCGCUUGAUACUUCCGCGCUCGAGCUUUGGAGAGGAGUCUGGAAUUCUCGGUGUAGCAGUGAAAUGCGUGGAUAUCGAGAAGAACACUUAGGGCGAAGGCAAGACUCUGGACAAAUGCUGACGCUCAUGCACGAAGGCUAGGGUAGCGAACGGG